GCUCCCGGGGCCGCGGCACAAACGGGCCGCGCCGGACGGGGCCGCGCGCCGGGCCUGCAGCGGAAACGGAAACGGACACGGACGCCUUCCGCGGCGCACCGCUCUCCCGCGCGGCUUCCGGGACGGACUGAGGGACCCGCGGCCGCGGGAGGGAGGGCGUCGGGCGGGGACGCGGGCGCCGACCCCCACGCCGGGCCGGUGAGCGACCCCGAGACGCGCAGGUGCAGGGGCGGGGCCGCGCUCGUCCGGCGCUGGCCCCGUAGUGGGAGCGGGAGCAGCGGGCGCCCGGCUCCGACCUUCCGCAGGUCAGAAGUUCGAAAUGAGUGUCACCGGGCUGAAAGCAGAAUGCCGACAGGGUGGCUUCCCUUUGGGGGGCUCUCAGGAAGAAGCUGGCUUCUGGCCAUUUACAGCUUUGAGGCUGCGUGCAUCCUGGGAUCCUGGCUCAUUGCUCCCCUCGAGGCCAGCGAUGGCUGAUGAUCUUGGGAACAUCAUAUGCCUUGGACACCGACGCUCCUGAAUCCCUCCUCCACACUUAGGGACCCUUGUGGUGUCAUUGGGCCCAUCCAGGUAUUCUAGUAAUUAGAAAAAAAAAAAAACUGCACCAAGGACAGCUAAUCAAAUACCGUAUUGGCUGAGAAAACGUGGCUCCGGUGUAGAUAACUCAGACUGAAGACUGCUUCAGCUGUACAAACCCCUGAGGUGAGGGUCUAAGGAGGAAGAAAUCCAGGUGGGGCCCCGGCCCUGUUCUCCGCUGGAUCACAGUGUUCGCGUCCCAGCUCACUUGGUGGUUGGCGGGAUUCAGUCCUUGUGGAUGUAGGACUGAGCUUUCUGUUUCCUUGAUGGGGGUCCUCUGAGGGCUGCUCUCAGCUUCCGGAGGCUACAUUCCCUGGCCACUUGGUGCCCGCUGUGACAGCAUGCUUACGCAAAGCCACCAGGAGAAUCCGUCCCUUCUGUUGGCUAAGGCUGGGUCUUGUAGGAUACAACGUGACAACCCGAGUGACUAUCCCAUCACCUUUGUCAUGCAAAAGAACCAAUCAAGGGAGUGACCGGUCUAGCACAUUCACAGGUCCUGCCCGCACUCGGGGGUGGGAGGAUUAGAUGGGGUAUGUACACAGAAGGCAAAAAUCCUGGCGGCCUGUUAGAGUCUUGCCAACCACCACACAGUACCUCCAAGAAUUUUUUAAGACCAUUAUAACAAGUGUGACAGUUUAACAGGUUGCUGAACACACAAUCAACGGACAAGAAGCAAAAGUAUUCAGACCAGAAUCAACUAAUACAAAUGUAGUGGAAAAGGAGAUUUCAGUAUUAAUACAAAACAAAACUACCAGGCACCCAACUACAGAAAGAAAAAAUCUAACAAAAGUAGAGCCGGGCCUUGGGAAGGCUCGGACUCUAAUGACCGCCGUGAAGGGAAACCUGAACACACGGCCUGUGCACCGCAGUCCCACACGCUGAGGGUUAACAUCUCAAACAAGCCCGUUCUCUCCAAAUUAAAGAUCGCAGUGCAGUUUCAAUAAAACCCCAGCAGACUUUUUUUCACGGAACUUGUCAAGUUCAUCCUCAGAGUAAUAGUGAGGAGCAGAAAAUUACACCUAGGGAAAAUUAGGAGAAGGAGACUCGCGGUUUUGGACGAUGUGACUUGCUGUGACGUUAGGAAGUGGAAUGAUGAGUGCAGAGUAGGGCCAGGCCGCCGAGCAGAGCAAGGAGCGCGUCCGGAGGCAGGUCCUCGCACACGUGAACUGGCCUGUGACCGGGCGGCCUUACAGCCUGGCCCUAGGUGAGCCUGGGGAAACGGCGUUGAUUGAGACGAGAUCACUUCCACACACUUUCGAACCUACGUGUGAUGAGGAGUCAGUGUGGGAAGCAGCACCUUGAUAUCUUUAGAAGAAACGAGAUCAUUUUUGUGACACUGAAGCGGAACAGAAGUUUCCUAAAUAAGAUUUCAACGCACAAACCGUGAAAGAACCACGUAAACCACACGUACAGCAGAAGUCAUGCACGUAAAGUGGGAAAAAACGCAGGGAUCGAGAGGCGAAGUCUUGUAGGCACGAGACUGACGACGUCAGCAGGGCAGCGGGGCCCCCUUGCUUCCGUGGGGUUCAGCAGUGAAGAGCCCGCUCGGAGGAGGCAGGCGAAGGCUUGCAGCCGAGCACCUGGGGCCCCGCGCGCCCGCCAGGCCGCCGCUGCCGAAGGGGCCAGCAGCCCUGCCCCGGGGGCCCGUGGGCCGCCCCGGCCCGCCACACCGUCGGGGGCCCGCCUGGACGCUGCCGCAGACCGUUUCCAACCCGUGGGCACGUCGCUUAGCCCGUGUGACCCCGACUGCUCCCUGCACAGACGGCCCGCCGGGGAGCGCACGCCCAGGGCACUGGCGUCGGCGGCCUGGCUCCCUGGGGCCCUAACCUCGGUCGCCGCCCCGCCAGCCGCCAUCGGGCGAGGAGGAUGUCCCGGGUCCCCAGAGGCACUGUGGGGCUAGGCUGGGCCGCGCACGUUCCCCAGAGCCCUGCCCCUCGGCGCCUCCCCCGCGACGGGCCUUCCUCGGGACGCCGGUGGCGCCAGCGAGGCCAGCGAGGCCCCAGGCUGAGCACCUGUCGCGCCCGGCCCCGUGGCCACUUCCGGGCCACUCUCUGCGUCCUCCCAAACGGCUACGCGUCCCAGCACAGCAGAGAUGCUUCAGUGGGCCCGGCGGCCUGAGCUAGUUAAAGAAACGCGUGGAACAAGAGACGUGGGAAGGCAGCACAGCAGCAGCGGCCCCCCGGGAGGGGCUGCGGAGUCUCCAGGCCGGAGCUCUCCGAAGGUCGUGCCAGUCUGUCUCGUUCUACGUCUAUGGGAUAGGUAGCCCCUCCGGCACGGGUGCACGGGCCUGGGACCCGUGGGAGUGUUCGAGCCUAGAGCACGUGAGGGACCCGGACGGGCCUGUAGGGUGAGGGCCGGAUCCGGCCCCUGCUCGGGAUGCGGACGGCGCGCUCCAGACACCUGCACGCUUGAGAUCGGGCAUUUCUCUGUGGCCGGUAGCUCCGUCCUAGUGGGGAUCACAGUAACAGGAGGAGGAGUAAAACGUUAAAACAAAAAUGCUAAAAGCUUAUGGUUUCUUAAGCGAAUAUCCUACCCGCUUCUUCGUGACGGAAUAAAAUCCGUCACUAAGACACUAAGCAAAUCAGUCGCUCUCCCCGGAGUUUGGUAAAUUGCUGACGGUGACAGGAGGUGACUCAGAGACCUGAGAGCGGCAAAGGGAGUCAACCGAGGAGGAGGCCUUUGCUGGGAGUGUAGCGCCCACGUAAUUACAGGGUCAACGCCUCAGCCGCCUGUGCUCGUUCGCAGGGGAGCUGACCCGAUGACACCCUGCACCUCCUGGAGGAGGCUUCAGCCCCUGAAGGAUCCCAGUUUUUCAGGAGCGUGUGCUCCAAGCCUGUAGGGUUACCCCCGAGGGCCCAAACUCGAUGAGAUCUGUUCCUAAGUGGCUGGACAGGAAGGCCAUGAAUUAUUGACAGAUCCUCAAGGCUCUUAAGUAUAUUAAUCACCGAUUUGGAUGAGGGCGUAGGGGAUGCAUCCACCAAAUGUUUAGAAGCCACACGUAGGGGUGAGACCGCCAGUCAGGUGGGCCACGGGCUCAUAAUCCACUGCACCUGAACAGGACCAGGACUGGGCCCAAGCCAGAGUCAAACUAGAAUAAACUAAAAAGUAAAGUGCCCUCAGGUCCAGAAGCCAGCUGCCAAGUCCACGGUGGGAGUGGGGAAUCCGAUGACGGAGAGCCUGUCGCCUCUCCGAUCACGUGCCACUUACAGGCCCGCGGUGCGCAAGUCCGCUUCGCUCCGCGCCGCUUAUCCUUCAGUCCGGGUGCCGCACGCUGAGGGUGCCGCUGCAAAGUGGAGCACCUGGGGGGGGGGAUCGGGUGCAAGGAGACCCCUCGUUGCUCUGCAUUUUGGGAAAUGCGUUAUUUGGGAAAAGGAGUAAAGUACAGGUUAGGUGACCAACCACCCGGGUUCACGUGGGGCUGCGGGGAGUUGUCGGACACGGUACGUGCAGGCUUAAAAGCCCGGGCAGGACUGGGCGCCUGCCUCGGGCUCGGGCUCAGGAUCCCGCGUCAGGCUCCCUGCUCCGUGGGGAGGCAGCUUCCCCCUCUCUUCCUCCCCCCCAGCUUGUGCGCUCUCUCGCUCUCUCACUGUUUCUCUCAAAUAAAUAAAUAAAAUCUUUGAAAAAUAAAUAAAUAAAAGCCAUUCCCAGGAGCCAUGUGUAGAGAUCCCUCGAUGUCCCUGGCCGCAUCACGUCCGGCGCUACCCCCACCACGGGCACUGGCACCGUAUUUCGUGGACACACUGCCACCCCGAGCAGCACUGGGGUUCAGUUAGCAAGGAGGGGGAGGAGGAUGGGAACUGGGCCGCACAGGGCAGGGUGCCCCGCAGCCAUCCUCUGGGCCACUUACUCAUCACCGUGCCACCUCCCUUCCCCUUGGGAAACUACACGACCACCGGCCUAAGGACACGGCCCGAGGGUGCGGCCCAGCAGGAGGGCACCGGGACUUGGGGGCACGCCGGCUGCAGUGCUGCACCAGCGCAGGACCCAUGACUCCCAAAGCCAAGGUGCUCUCGGCGCACCCCGGGCCCGCACACCAGCCUUUAGGAGGAGCGGCACAGCUGGCACGGAAGGAGGGUGCGAUGGGCCCCCCCUUCCCUCAGCUAUUCAACAUCGGGAGGAAUGUUCUACUAGGACCCGCCGUCCUGAAACCAAAAGCAGAGUGACUGAAGCACGGGGCCCAGAGGAAGCCGCCCCGUGGCCUGGGUGACAUCGGCGGUGCCCGCUUACACAGGAGCGGGCCAGGGGGCUGCCCGGGUGGGCGCCUGUGGCCCGACCCCCCGCUGGCUGUGUGCCCGCGCCGGAGGGGCCGCGGGGCCUCUGCUGUCCCCACGCGGGCGCCCGGCCCAGGGCAGACGGUGUGAUCCCGGCCCGGGGCUGCUCCUGGGGUUCUGGGCGUAUGCGGCCUUGAGGACCCUUAGUCUAGGCACUGGGGUGCAUCUAACAGGAGCCUCCAGGCUGCGGGUUUCUAACACAUUUCAUGAGGGGCUCCUGAGAAGCAGGCGAGAGCUAAAUCAGGCCCCUGAGCUGUGUCACAACUUCCGAGAGCUUAGGGUCGAGCUGAGGCAGGGAAAUGCUCCACGGGCCUGUAAUGGAACGGGUGUUUCUUAAUUUAUUAUUAUUAUUAUUAUUAUUAUUUUCUGUCUUGAAUGUUGUAGUAAGAAAUGAUUCAUUUACGAAAUUUGGGGAUCCCUGGGUGGCACAGUGGUUUAGCGCCUGCCUUUGGCCCAGGGCACGAUCCUGGAGACCCAGGAUCGAAUCCCACGUCAGGCUCCUGGUGCAUGGAGCCU